rnacentral:sRNA from 1 species
UAAUUAUUGUUGUUCGGUAGUAAAUUAAGGAUUGCAGAACCAACUUUUAAGUGAUUCUCGUCUUGAAUUAUGAUGAAGAGCAAGAAUAGUAAUAACGUGCAAUAUGCACAUGGAGGAAUUUUUAAUGAAUAACGGUACAGUAAAAUGGUUUAACGCAGACAAAGGUUUCGGUUUCAUCGAAGUUGAAGGCGGAGACGACGUAUUCGUACACUUCUCAGCAAUCCAAGGCGAAGGAUUCAAAACUUUAGAAGAAGGCCAAGCAGUAACUUUCGAAGUUGAAGAAGGAAACCGCGGACCACAAGCUACUAACGUUAACAAAGCGUAAGUAACCUUAACUUAUACAAAAACACUUCUCAUUCUGUGAGAAGUGUUUUUUUU